rnacentral:rRNA from 1 species
CAAGUCGAACGAACUCUGGUAUUGAUUGGUGCUUGCAUCAUGAUUUACAUUUGAGUGAGUGGCGAACUGGUGAGUAACACGUGGGAAACCUGCCCAGAAGCGGGGGAUAACACCUGGAAACAGAUGCUAAUACCGCAUAACAACUUGGACCGCAUGGUCCGAGCUUGAAAGAUGGCUUCGGCUAUCACUUUUGGAUGGUCCCGCGGCGUAUUAGCUAGAUGGUGGGGUAACGGCUCACCAUGGCAAUGAUACGUAGCCGACCUGAGAGGGUAAUCGGCCACAUUGGGACUGAGACACGGCCCAAACUCCUACGGGAGGCAGCAGUAGGGAAUCUUCCACAAUGGACGAAAGUCUGAUGGAGCAACGCCGCGUGAGUGAAGAAGGGUUUCGGCUCGUAAAACUCUGUUGUUAAAGAAGAACAUAUCUGAGAGUAACUGUUCAGGUAUUGACGGUAUUUAACCAGAAAGCCACGGCUAACUACGUGCCAGCAGCCGCGGUAAUACGUAGGUGGCAAGCGUUGUCCGGAUUUAUUGGGCGUAAAGCGAGCGCAGGCGGUUUUUUAAGUCUGAUGUGAAAGCCUUCGGCUCAACCGAAGAAGUGCAUCGGAAACUGGGAAACUUGAGUGCAGAAGAGGACAGUGGAACUCCAUGUGUAGCGGUGAAAUGCGUAGAUAUAUGGAAGAACACCAGUGGCGAAGGCGGCUGUCUGGUCUGUAACUGACGCUGAGGCUCGAAAGUAUGGGUAGCAAACAGGAUUAGAUACCCUGGUAGUCCAUACCGUAAACGAUGAAUGCUAAGUGUUGGAGGGUUUCCGCCCUUCAGUGCUGCAGCUAACGCAUUAAGCAUUCCGCCUGGGGAGUACGGCCGCAAGGCUGAAACUCAAAGGAAUUGACGGGGGCCCGCACAAGCGGUGGAGCAUGUGGUUUAAUUCGAAGCUACGCGAAGAACCUUACCAGGUCUUGACAUACUAUGCAAAUCUAAGAGAUUAGACGUUCCCUUCGGGGACAUGGAUACAGGUGGUGCAUGGUUGUCGUCAGCUCGUGUCGUGAGAUGUUGGGUUAAGUCCCGCAACGAGCGCAACCCUUAUUAUCAGUUGCCAGCAUUAAGUUGGGCACUCUGGUGAGACUGCCGGUGACAAACCGGAGGAAGGUGGGGAUGACGUCAAAUCAUCAUGCCCCUUAUGACCUGGGCUACACACGUGCUACAAUGGAUGGUACAACGAGUUGCGAACUCGCGAGAGUAAGCUAAUCUCUUAAAGCCAUUCUCAGUUCGGAUUGUAGGCUGCAACUCGCCUACAUGAAGUCGGAAUCGCUAGUAAUCGCGGAUCAGCAUGCCGCGGUGAAUACGUUCCCGGGCCUUGUACACACCGCCCGUCACACCAUGAGAGUUUGUAACACCCAAAGUCGGUGGGGUAACCUU